UUUUUUUUAUCUAAAUUUAAUCUAAUUUAAAAAAAAAUUAGAUCUAAUUUGAUCCGUAUAUAUUUAAUUUUUUUAAGUUACUUUUGUUAUACAAUUAUAAUAAAAUAUAUAAUAAUUCAGCCUGAAGUCCGACCCGAUAAAUCUCUCUCUAUAUAUAUAUUUAAAGAUUCUCUUUGAGAGGAGGGUACUUCAUACACUCUUUUUCUUUUAUCUUCUUCUUCUCUAUUGCUUCACCAGAAUGUCUUUCCCUUCUUUUUCCACGUACUAAGAAUGAUAAAAUAAAAAUUUUUUAACACAUUAAAAAUUAUUUAUAUUAAAAAAACACUAUCUUAAAUAUAAUAAAUAUUUUUUAUAUUAAAAAACAUAAAUAAAAAUAUUAAAUAUUUUAUUGUAUUAAAUAUAAAUUUUAAAAUUUUAUAUUUUGGUUUAGGUUAUUUAGUUGAAUAAGUUUUUUUAAAAGUUUUGAGUAAUGAGUUUAAUUGUUAUUGGGUUAAUGAUUUAAUAUAAGUAUAAAUAUAUAUAAUUAUUAUUUAACAUAUAUAUAAUUAAUAUAAUAUUAUUUUAUAACAUAAUAUUCGGGCUGAAUCGAGCUCGGGCCAAGAAAAUCUUACUAAAAGCUCAAAUCAUAUAGAAAAUAGACCUUAAUUUUACCUAAGCUCAUUUUUUGGGUGGAUCUUGAGGCUUGGGCUAGCGGUCCAGCCCAUGAGUAGGUCUAGGUGGAAUAAUAAAUAAAUAUUUAAUGUUUGAAUUUAUUUUUUAGUAAAUAAGUACCGUUAAACAAUAUUUUUUAAAUUGAAUUGGUGGUCGAACCGGUUAGGCCAUCAAUUCACUGGUCCAAUCGAUUUAAUUAAAAAAUUAUUAAUUAAAAAUUUUUUUCUAUUCAACUGAUUUAAUCGUUGAUUAACGAUUCAACUGAUUUUUUACUUAAUUUAUACUGAUUCUUAUAUACAAAAAAAUAUAAAAAAUAGUUAUAAUAUUAUAAAAUUUAUAAUUUUAAUCAAGAUAUGUAAAUUUAAAAGAGGGGUAUUUUGAUAGUUUUUAGGGGUGGGCCGAUGCAGGCUUGAUCAAAACUGAGAUCAAUUUCAUCCUGACCCAAAACUCGAUUUUCUUUUCAAUUUCAUCCCCUCUCUAACCAAAUCGGGUUGAAAUCCAAUAGAUUUGGGUUAAUUUGCUAGUCAUCAAUUAUUGCUUGGACCCUGUCAACUCUAAGAUCAACUGGAUCUUCAUCAAUUGCCCUCAAACAUUUUACAUGAAUGUUUCCAAAAAAUAAUAGCAAUUGGAAUUGAAAAAUUAUUUUUGUGUCGUUUUAGUUCGAUUGGUAUCGGUAUUAUUGUCAGUGCAGGAGGAUGUGGGUUCAAGUGCGUUGAAAUGUAUUAUCCUCCUAUUUAAGGGUUGAGAAUGGGCUAUGGGUAGUUUUAGACUUAUUAUAUCAAAAAGAGCAAAUAUGAUUAAUGUUAAAAAAUAGACCCUAAAAACUUGACCAUUUUUUUCUCUUCUUUUUUACUUGAGAAUAUUACGGGUAAAUUUCAAUUCCAAUCCUUCUAUUUUUUAAUUACAAAAAAUGGUUAAAUUUUAAUCUGAUCCCUAUAUUUCACUCAAUUUUGAGAUUUAAUUUAUAUAUUUUAAAAUUGACAUGACUUGAUAUCUCAACUUUUAUAAUGUCAUUGGUUAGUCUAAAUAUUUUUUUCUCGUUAAAACAAUGGUGUGAAUUUUUAAGAAUUGUUAGCACCAUGAAAAAUCUUUGUUAAAUUCGGGUUUAUUACAAUGUUAUUUUUUUGUUAUGUGGAUACCAAUUUAUUUUAUUUUAUUUUUUUGAAAAUGCCACACCAACACAAUAAUUAAGACAAUGUUAACAAAUAGACCUAAAUUUUUAAAUUUGAAAAGUAAAGAGACUAAAUUUUUUAAAAUAAAAAUUUAGAGAUUAAAUUCUAAAUAUACGAAUAAUACAAAAAUUUCAAACAAAUUAUAAUUUUUAAAUUUUUACACUAUAAAUUAAUUAAUAAUUAAUUAAUAAACUCAACAAAAAUUGUGGGUGAAACCAUACUAGUAAGUAGUAACUAUACAUAAAAUGUAUUGGACUUGCUGCCACGUGUCACACCCAACUAUAUUCAUUUUCUAUUCUUUUUGCAUUUUUACCAAAAACUGUUAAAUUUCAGCUUUGGUCCCUUUAAUAGGCCUAAAUUUGAGAUUUAAUCUAUAUACGUUAAUUUCUAAAAUAAUAUGUCCCUUAUAGUUUUAUAAUGUUAUUAUUUAGUACAAAUAGUUAAUAUUGUUUACUUUUUUAUUAAAACAUUAUGUGGUUAUAUAUAAAUUGAAUACCCUAAGUCUUAGAGACUAACUUGUGGCUUCCCAAAAUAUUUGCGUUAUUUUUUCUUUUUUACAUUAUAAGACAAUGGUCAAAUUUUAAUUUUAACCCUAAACUGUAUUGAAACUUGAGAUUUAAUCUAUAUACUUUAUUUAUCUUUUACAUAAUUCGGUCCCUCUAAUUUUAUAAAGUCAUUAGUUUGUCUAAAUAGUUAAUAUUGGUCAACUAUUUCAAUCAAAAUGUUGGCGUCAAUCUAGAAAAAAAUAUUUCAUCAUGACGAUUUUGAAUGGGUAUUUUUAAGAAAAAUUGUAAUAAAUAUUUUCAAUGUUUUUUUUAAUAUAUGGCUACGAAGUGAAUAUAUAUUUUUUAAUUUCAAAAUGUCAUACUUGAGAAUUAAUAAAAGAAAUUUAACGAUGGUAUCAAUUGGACCUGGAAUUUUAAAUCCAAAAAGUAGAUUAGUAUAUUCUCAAAAAUAAAAGUAAGGGGACUAAAUUCCAAAUGUAUGAAGUGUAUAGGGACUUGGAGAAUAUUUUAACAUUUGAAUUUUUUACUUUAUAAUUUGACAUAAACAAAUAAUCAACCCAACACGAAGUGUGGGCUAGGAACCACGCUAGUUUAUAUUGAAUUUUAAGUUCAAGAUAAGUACAACAAAAUUACCUCUAACAUGGUCAAAGACGAAACCAAAAUAAUGUUGAUAAUUAAGAAAUAAAGAAAUAUAUAAUUGUUGAAGGGGUAUCGACUUCUUCCAGAGAUGUCUUCAAUAUGCCGUCCUCUAAGCAACCGACUGAAGCCCCCAACAACCAAAGGUAUUGUCCUUGGGAGAGAGUAUUGUCCCCAGCCUCCGCGAAGAGCCAAUGUGCCGUGAGUGGCUACCCUGAAAGUCUACUUCAUACAUGGGUGCCUCGAUUAUACGUAGACAUAUGACCACUCAUUGAGAGGCAAUGAAAGCAUCUCGCCCUUGGUGGAGUUUAAACCCCUCACCAAUAACAUAUAAGUCACUUAUUGGGGUAUAUCUGACCCAUAUAGAUCACAAUGACAAUCUUUUUUAAUUCAUUUUCUUCUUCUUCUUCUUUAUCAAGCACCGUCAAUUUUAUUUUCUAUCCACAUUUUCGCUGUCAAUUUUUUUAUUCUAUUUUUUCAUUUAACUAAACGUACCUUAAAUGUCAGUUUGAAUAUGACGCGGAGCACGUGUAAAAUACAUGAAUCAAAUUGUAAUUAAAGACAUGUUUAUAAUGUAUUUGUCACAUAAAUAACUUGAAUUUGACAUGUUAAAAGAAACAUAUAGCAUCAUUAAUAGGGGUGAAUUUAGAAAUUUUCUAAACAUUGGAAUUGAAUUAUAAAAUUUUUGAGAGUUCAAAGUGUAAUUUUAUAAUGUAUUAACUUAUAAUUUCAUCAUUUUAAAAAAAUACAUUUUUUUAGAGAUGUAAAGCAUAAUUUUAUCAUUACAAAAUUUUAAUUUAAUCAUUUAUAAUAAAACUAUAAAGAAACUUCUUAGGGGUGGGUUUCAAAGCCCACAUAUCCCCCACAUUGUAUUAUCCUCUUAACGUCCAAUGAAUGUCCGAAAUUAACCUAUAUUAUUUUUUUGGUAAAAAAGUAGCAGAAAUCAGCUACAUCAACAUAGUUCUAAUGAGAAUUUCCCAUGGUUUCGAUUUGCUGAAGAUCAGCUAACAACAAUCCUCUAAUAUUCAUUGGAGGCUAUUUAAAAGUGCAAAUCAUAUUUAAAUCUUCAGCAUCCAUCUUCGCCAAGUAAUCCACAACCUUAUUUUGUUCCAUUGGAAUAUGUCGAAAUUAAUAGCUAAAUUGAUGGAAGGAGCUAAUUAUAUGAAACCAUAUUUUGAAGACUUAAUCAAAAUUCUUUGAAGAUUAGGACCAAAUUAAAAUCUAAAUUAUAAAUUGAGAACCACUGCUGCAAUUAAUCUAAAGAGUAUCAUAUAAAGCCAAAUUUGGCGUUAAAACUUUAAAUUUUCUAUUUAUUUAUCAGUUUCCCACCGUACAAGUUUUUUCCCGCGUUUCUUCGAAGGUUUCUAAUAACUUCUAUUGGUUUCCAUUUCUUAAUCCAAAAUAUAAUUUACAAAGUAUGAAGUUAAUUAUUUUUGUAAAAAAUGGAAGCUUAGUUUGCAAAUCAGAUCAAAACAUUCGGGAUUUUAGCCAUUUUUUCAGGUGAAUUACGAGCGCAUCGGAGUUAUUCUACACUCGAAGGUCGAGUGGGCCGACGACCCGACCCGCAUUCAGGAUUUGGGUCCUUAAUUGAUCGGAAUUACAAUCGCGCCGGAAAUCAUUUCAGUCACCAUAAUCGGAGGCUUGAUUUGGACGGCCGUGAUCCUCUCCGCCGUAUUCUCUACGCUCACGUGGCUUCUCCCUUUCCCUACGCUCAUUGCACAUAAUGUUUUUUUUUCGUUUGGUUGCUUAGAAAAGAAAAACGGAAAAAGGAAAAAAAUAAGUAUACGAAUUAAUAGAUGUUCUUGGAAGUGAAAAUAGAUUGAAUUUUCAUUUUGUUGAAAUAAAUUUUGAUUAAUUAAUUUAUUUUGCUUUGAAAAUCAGUAGCUUAAAGAUAAAUCUAUUAGUUGAAUUACUGAAAGUAGUUAUGAAAUGUAAAAUUUUCUCGAUAAUUUAUCUGAGUUCUGAGCCCUAAGCUAAAUUGCUGUAAAUUUCAUCCAAUAACAUAUAAUAUGUAUACAGAUAGAUAAGAUUGCUUGAUAUUGCAUUACCUUGUGAUUUGCUUUUACUUUGGGGAAAUUACUUAACAGUUAAGUGCAUUGAGCUAGUGUUGCUAGUACCUCUUCUUCAGUAAUGAAUAUUUUGAGUGUCUUUCAGAGAAAUGCUAUAAUGAAUUUGGCUUUGUCAUGCAGCAACCAGUUUGUGUAAGUAGUUCAAGUAGGCCACGUUUAAGUUCGAACUAGCGACUUCCCGGAGUUUUGCUGCGAGUAAGAGGCGCGUCCAUUUCUUCAAACAGGUUGGUGCUUAGAGCUCUCUGCAAGUUUCAAAUUCAUAGCACUUGCAUUGGUUGUAUUUACUGUGAUUAUUUACCUUGUCAAGUAGAGCUAGUAAUUCUGCAAGUUCAUAGCAUUUGCAUUAAUGCACUUAUGGCACUUUUAGUGCUUUUGCUGCACUAGUUGGACUAAAAAUAUAUCCACCAUUCUUGCUUUGACACCAAUUUCCAUUCAACCCGUUUAAAUUCUCGAAGGACAGCAUAUCUAUAACUUUCUCAACUCUACUAGAAUCCAAAUCAUGAUUUUGCUUUUUUGUUCUACUUUUAUUUCGUGGAUAUGUUGAGUGGUGCAAAAUGAUCAAAAGGGGGGCAACUAUUAAACUAUCAACUUGUGUCAUAAUCUGUAUAGGACGAUUCAGUGUCAUAUAUGGUUGAUUGUGAUCCAUUAUUGUUGCUGCAUCCAUAAAAUGAAAUUGUGGGUCUGACUGGGUUUAGCAAUAAGGAAAAGAGGUACCAUGUGAUCUUUUAGGAAGAUAGAUGGCUUGGGUUAUCACCGGUUUAUGCAUAGAUCAAUUUCAUAGGAGUAACCUAAAAUGCACUCUGAUGCAGCAAUUUGUCGGUUGCAUUGUCACUAGUGUAUUCAAUUUUCAAUAAUUGUUUUGGCGCUUGAUACCCUAGCUAUUUUUUUAUAGAAUUGCCUGCUAUAAUCAUCAUGUUUCAACAGACUUUUUUUUGUCCCUCUUUAGACAUUAGAUAUUCUGGUAAAAUUUUGCUAUUAGUCCAUAUACUAUGCACAAGUUGCAAAUUUUUGUACUUAUACUCUAAUUUGGUUAUUUUUAGUCUUUGUACUUUUCAAAUUUUGAAAAUUUAGUCCUGAACAAUGGCUGACAAAUUCAUUAAGUUAAAAUUUGUUAUUUCCAACAUCUUAUGCCACAAACAUAUUAUCACAUUUGUAAUUCUAUGUUAACUUGCUAUUUUCACAUAAUACUUCAAGAAAAUCGUUUCAUAUUAGUUAAUAAAUUUAAUAGCUCUUGUUUGAGUCAAGAUCGAAAUUUUAAAAUUUGAAAAAUAUAAAGAUUAAAAAUGAUCAAUUUGAAGGACGUGGAUUAAAUCCACAAUUUAACGCCAUAGUAUGGAACUAAUAGCAGAAAUUUUAGAGUACAUAGACUAAAACCUGCAACUUACAUAUAGAACAUGGACCAAUAGCAGAAUUUGACCACUUAUUUAUAUUCUUGAACAGAUUAAAUUCACUCUUUUUAUGCUCAAAAAAAAUCUGUCAUUACUUUGAGCCUACUUCUGUUAAUGCAUUAAAUCAGAUAUUUCUUUUGCUACUCCCCAGCUAUUAGUAGUACCAUAAUUUCCAGGCCCACUGCUGCUUGACUUGCAUCACUAACAACCAAAACGGUCCAGUCCCACUGCCGGUGUGCUUCCCAUGUAGUAUAUUAUUGUUAUUUACAUCACUUUCCACUACCACUAUUACCCAGCUAACUUCCUAGUAAAUUAGCAUUUCUAACCAUGUGGACCACUAGAACUUGUGGCACUCAGUAAUGAAGAUAUUUAUGUUUCUGUCUUUCAUUACGCAGUGGACUACUUCAAGGUCCGAACUGCGGUUUAAACAUUUUAUACUUUUUUUCCCUUUUUCGUUUUCUAAUUUACUUAUUUUGUCCUUGUUUUAAUUUUUUGAAUUUUCUUUUGACUGAAUCAGAAAUCAGUAUUUUGAUUGAUUUGAACGUCGAUUUAAUUUUUGUGACACAGCUAUCAUGUAGGCAGAGGUUUCGUUCACUAGACUUGCUUAGAUCUUGGGUUAGAGCUUGUGGGAACUGACCUUACUAUAGAAAAAGCAUAUACUAUCUCUAUUAUGUACCCAGUUGCAAGGUAUUUGAAUUAAAUCCCACUUAAAAAGUAUGAGAUUUUUAGUGAAAUUUAUAUGAACCAUGUUUGUCUCAACUUCAACAACUAGCUUUUGAGGUAUAAUUCUCCAUUGAUCUAUUUUUGUUAGUGCUUCAGUUUCCUUAACAUUGAUAGCGUGUGAACUUUAAAAUGUAAAGUAUCUAUCGGUUUCAAUGUCCCUUUCCUUGCUUGACCAACCUGCCCUACUUGUUUUCCAAAAUGGACUGAAACCAAAUUGUUUUAUGUUGUUGUCAGCUACAGUAUUGGUACUCACCAUGCUCAGAGUCUCAACCUCUAUGUUAAAACCUUUUUCCUUGAAAUUUCCUAGGCAAUUUUGGACACAUAACAUACAUAAAAAACAAUACAAAUAUAUAAUAUUAAUAUAAAAGUAUGUCAAUAGUAAGUUUAAGGUUAAAAUAUAUCAUAAGUCCUCAUGUUUUUCAAAAAUCUAAAAUUUAAUCUUUGUAUUUUGUUAAAUUUAGAUUUAUUAUAAUGUCUUUUUUUUAGUUACAUAGCUAUCAAAUGGAUAUUUUUUUAUUUUAAAAUAUUAUACUAAUAAAUUUAAUAAAAAAAUUUAACUAUAUUAAUAAUUAAAUCUGAAUCUUAAAAUAAAAAAAGUGAUACAAUUACUGAAAUAGGGAUUAAAUUCUAAAUUAGGUAGAAAGAAUUUACCUAAUCUGAUAUGACAUUUAUCAUGAUUUGAAAGUUUUGUAUUAAAAUGCCAAUUUCCCCACACGAGAAAUGUCACAUGUAUCACAACUUGUUAGGAUCAUUAUUUAUAAUAAACAUAAAAGCAGAUGUAAAUCAUAUCCCUCAUUUGACUCUCUAGAGGCAAAAAGAGGGAAGCAUAUUAUACUCCACUUAAUACAUUGAACAUAUACUCUUCCUUUUUCAAUUGUAUAAAAUAUUCAUUUAAGAUAAUCUUUAUCAUGAAGAAAGCUAAAAAGAAACUUAAAGGAAAAAAUGAAAAAAAGGGGAAAAUGAAAGUUUAAGUUUUACAGAAGAUCCUUAUACUAUGAAUUUUUUGUAUAUCUAGUCCUAUAUAAUUUAAUAUUUCUACUCCUAUUUUACCAAACAGGUAUUUUUAGUUUGGAUGUCAACUUUUUCUUCUAAUUUUGCUAAAUAUUAUAAUAGGAUAUAGCACUUGACUGUACAUCUACAUUUUGUACAAUUAGAUAUUAUUUUUGUAUAUUUAGAAAAAGAAUAAAAUUAUAAUAAAGUGUAUAAAAAAAUGCAAAAGUGAUAAUGUAUUUAAAUAUUAAGGUAAAAUUAAUCUCAAGUUAGACCCAUGACAACCCACUACCUCUACCCCUAUAAGCAUUACAAAAAAGUGAUUGAGGGUUAAAAAUUAUCAAAGUAUAGAAAAAGGACUAAAUCCGAAAAAAUGAAAAAUGCAGAGUCCUUUAUGAAAUUUUACCAAAAUGAAAACGGAAACUUAAACGCGGAGAGUACAGCAGUAUUCGGGUCUUUGGUCAUCUUCCUCUUCACGCGGCAUCUUCCUCUUUAAUCGCCAUUUUCGCUUUCUCUCUCAUUAUAUAUCUUUAAAAACCAUUCUUCAACCUAACAAAAAAAACCACAGCAACAAAAAAGAAAACCAUACAAACAAAUCCUAAAAGACUCUCUUUACAACGUAAAGAGCAAAAACCCCAACAGCAAAACGUGUAGUAAUAAGGCAAAAACACGGUAGGGAAGGAAGGUUGUUAAUAUAUACAUAUAAAAGUUAUAACGGAAGAAAGGUCGAACGAUUCAAAAAAACCCAACGAUGGCUAUGAUGUUACGGUCGCUCGCUAGGCCGCUUGAACGUUGCCUUGGGUUAAGGGCCGGUGGGGAUGGUCUCAUGUGGCACACUGAUCUUAAACCUCAUGCUUCGGGCGAGUACUCAAUCGCCGUCGUUCAAGCCAAUAAAAACCUUGAAGAUCAAGGCCAAGUCUUUACAUCUCCUUUAGGUACCUAUGUUGGUGUUUAUGAUGGUCAUGGCGGACCCGAAGCUUCCAGAUUUGUAAACAAGCAUCUUUUCCCAUUUCUCCACAGUAAUUGUUCUUUGACCCUUUUAAUCUUUUUCUUAAUUAUUUUUCUGGGUUUUUUUUUAGAUUAUCUGAAAUGGGGUUUUCUUUGCGUCUAAUUUUUCAAGAUUCAAAUAUUCUUUUGUGUUUUAAUGGUCAAAGAGAAUUUUGGGUUUUUGUCAGUUAAUGAUAUUUUGAACAACUUACAAAGUGUCUAUCAUGCACGUUUAUUUAGUUAUUAUUUGUGUAUCUGAAUGAAUAUGAAUUACUUUGUCUAAAUAUAAAUCUUUAUGCGUUUGAAAUUGGAAUUUGGUUCUCAAGAUUCUAAAACCAUUCAGUUUAAUUUCAAUUUUUGGCACCUUUCACCUCCUUGCUUUAUUGGGUUUUGUCAGUGAAUGGUUGUGUUCUUGUUUUAAUUUUUCUGUCUUAAUUGUAGAAUUUGCUACAGAGCAAGGGGGAUUAUCUGCAGACGUGAUAAAGAAGGCGUUCAAUGCUACUGAAGAAGAGUUUUUACAUUUGGUGAAGCAAUCAUUGCCCGUAAGGCCUCAAAUUGCUUCAGUUGGAUCAUGUUGCCUUGUUGGUGCGAUAUCCAACGAUGUGUUGUAUGUGGCGAAUCUCGGCGACUCGAGAGCAGUUCUUGGCAAAAGAGUUUCGGAGGAUAAGAAAAACAAGGUUGUGGCAGAGAGGCUAUCAACAGAUCACAAUGUUGGAGUUGAGGAAGUGAGGAAAGAGGUUGAGGCUCUUCAUCCUGAUGAUUCGCAUGUCGUGGUUUACACUCGCGGAGUUUGGAGGAUUAAGGGCAUAAUCCAGGUACUUAACAAAAUCUAUUGGCAAACCCAAUUAUAAGAGUUUUAAGUUGAAUCAGACAGGUUGAAGAACAGUUCAUGUUUUGGUUCAAUGAAUUCGAUGGAUAUACAUGUUUCUUUCCAUCAAUUGCUUGUAUGUUUGUAGAAAAGGUAUAUUUACAAAACAAAUAAACAUUGUGCAUCCUCUGAAUCAUAAUGCUAAGCUUAUGUGACUAUAUGGAGUCUUCUCUCUUUUCUUUUUCGGGUUUUUUGGGUUCCUUUUGUUGAUUUCUUUCCCCUUUAACUUCAGCAGUUAAAUGGUUCUCUGUAAUGGAUAAUGUUGGUCUAAGCAUUGAACUUGUUUCUUUAUUCAGGUGUCAAGAUCUAUCGGUGAUGUUUACUUGAAGAAACCCGAUUUUUAUAGAGAUCCAAUCUUUCAACGAUUCGGAAACCCUGUUCCCCUUAAAAGACCAGUUAUCACGGCAGAACCCUCCAUCCUUAUUAGAAAGCUUAAGCCCCAAGACUUAUUUCUGAUAUUUGCAUCAGAUGGCCUAUGGGAACAGUUGAGCGAUGAAACCGCGGUAGACAUUGUUUUCAGAAACCCCCGAGCUGUGAGUAUUUACCUUUGUCUUAUUGGUUAAUUUAGUCUUCAUUAGCAGCUGGACCGAAUGACAGAGUAUUGAUUUUAAGUUUGCUUGUAUUACUUGCAGGGUAUUGCUAAGAGACUGGUAAGUGCCGCACUUAGAGAAGUUGCAAAGAAAAGAGAGAUGAGAUACGGCGAUAUUAAGAAAAUCGAGAAGGGAAUAAGACGGCAUUUCCAUGACGAUAUAACCGUGAUCGUCAUUUACCUAGAUCAACACCGAGGCUCUUCACAUAACAUAGUUAAACAUAAUGCCAUGGGGUGCACGACGGCGCCAGUCGACAUCUAUUCAUACAAUGCAGAUGAAGGAUAUGAAGGAGAUUUACUUCAAACAGUUUCUUGAAUACACAACAGAAUGAGUUAAUAUUAGGUUUAGCACACUGACUUUUUAUUCUUUUUCAAGUCUUAUUCAUGUAUAGAGAAACCAAAUGAUGGGGUGGGAUUGGUUCUUAAACCAAUGUUUCAUUGGGAGAAAAAUCGAGAGUUUGGAAGGUAAUUUUAGUCACCUCAGACGGAUUCCGACACAGGCGGCUAUAGGUGUUCCGGUUGAAGUUCUAACGGUUACCGAAAAGGCUACAUUGUUUUAUUGGUUUAUUAAAUUCAUUGCUUAUAUUAUAUUUAAUUCGAAGUGAGUAACUAAAGACAAUUAAUUACGUUAUUAAUUUUUCUUGUCAAUUAUACAUAAUUUUGAUUGGUGUAAUAACAAAUUUAACCCUUAAUAUUUAUAUAUUUUGUGCAAAUGUUGACAGAAUAUGUAAAUGUUGUAGGUUAAUUUCGUUAAAUCGUGAUUAAAUUGACAGAACAUGUAAGUGUUAUGGGUUAAAUUUGUUAAAUCAAUGUUAAAUUGACAAGAAGUAUAAACUUUAAGGGCGAAUUUUGUUACUAUACCGAUAGAAAAAGUAUAAUUGAUGAAAAAAUAUUGAUGUUAUGAUUAAUGGUCAUUAGUUGCUCACUUUUAAAAUCGACAAGAUUAAAUUGUUAUAGUUUUUUUGAGAGGGACCAAUUUGUUCAAAAUGAAAAUUGAGAAGAAUCAAAAUGUCAUUGUACCUGGUUCUUAUACAUACCAUAUCUAAGUUGUGAAUUUAGUUUUUGUACAUUAAUUUACUCAAUUUCAGUCUCUUUACUUUUUAAAUUUAAAAUUUUAGUUAUGAUUUAGAUUGUAAAUUAAAUUCGUUUCAUUCUAUUAUGUUAUUAGUCUUAUACUAUUAUUACAGUUGUGAAUUUAAUUCAUGUUUUUUAAUUUUAUCAUUUUUAGUCGUUAUACUUUUCAAAUUUUAAUGCAAACGAAAAUAGUUAAAUCCAUUAAACGUAGGUUUUCUAUGUGUGCAAUAUAUGAAAAUAGCAAAUUGCAACUAUUAUUUGAUCGAGACUAAAAUUGAAUAAUACAAAAAAUACAAAAAUUAAAAUUAAAUAAAUUAAAAGAUAGAUAUUAAACUCACAAUUUAUUCAUAUACAUAAACUAAUAACAUAAUUCUUAAUACUCUUAAAUUAAAAACAACACUUAAUAAACUACGAGAGUUAGGUGAGAUGACAAAUAUCUCUCCUAUAUUAACCAGUGGUUGAAAGUUUGAUCCUCGCAUUGGGUAUAGAAUAACUUUAAAAACUCGUAGUCGGCAUCUAUUAUUUUAAUAGACCUAAAAAUGCGGAGAAUUAAUUACUGAACUCGCUCUAAGCAUGACAUAACACGACAAAGUUGGCUUGUAAUUUGUAUAUCUAAACCAAAAGGGAAAAAAUGUUUUGCGAGACAAAUUCCUUAAACUGAAAGACAUGGGAAUUUUGGCAACUAGAUAGCAAUAACCAAACUUGUUAGGUGAAACGAACCAAACUAAAGCACAAAACGACAAUCAGUUGCGCUAAAGUUAGGAUGUCUUGUCACUUUUAAAUUUUUAUUAUACAACUUGCUUCACUAAACAAAUACUAUUUAAUGAACUUUUUAAUAUUCUUACUCUACUUUUCAAUAAUUCAUAAAGCUAAUAAAUAUAUUAUAUUCUUUCAAAUUACUUUUCUUUAAAUUAUUUUUUCUUUAUUUUAAUUGAAAAUUUUUAUUGUAUUAAUUGCAUAAAAAUACUCAAAAUUUUAAUUUAUUCUUUAAUUUCGAAAUAUGUUUAAACGUUAAAACGUUAAUUUUGAUAUGAUGUAAAGUACAUUUAAAAUGCCCGAAUUAAAUUGUAAAUUUAUGUAUACUUACAUCAUUAAUAACUUGGAUCUUACGUAUUAAAAAAAUAGUGUUAAUAAAUUUUAGGAGGGUUAACACUUUUAACUGUUAGAACGAUUUUUUUAAGUAGAAAUCAUGUUGGUACUCUAACUAGAAUGGUUAUACUUUAGUUACUUGGGUUAACUGUUAAUAUUAUAAAAAGUAGAAGAUUAAAUUACAUUAAAUAAAAUUAUGGAGAUUAAAUUUUAAAUUUGAGCACAAUAAAGGGACCAAAACUAUAAUUUAACUCUUUUUAAAUUCAAUAUUUUGUUGAAGGAUUAAAUUGGGGUUGAACUUGAAACCUACUUCUAUAUUGGGGCUUGAACUUUUUUUUUGUCUAAGUUGCUCCCUAAACUUAGCAAUUUUUCUCAUAUUGAAGUUUGAACUAGGCCAUUGUUCUAAGGGGCGAAGCCAAAAUUUUUUUUUUUGGGAGUUGGAAUUAAAUUGUAUAUUUUUAUGGUAGUAAGAAUGUAAUUUUACCAUUUUAAUAGCCUAUGUCAUUAUAAUUUUAAAGGAUUAAAUCAAUUUUGUAUUAUUUAAGAGGUUAAAGUUCAAAUUUAUCAUUACUAAUUUAAAAUUUUAUAAAUUAUAAAAAGUUUAAAUAGAAAAUUUUUCAUUUUAGGGGGAACUGGGGGCCUUGCCAACCUCUCUGGCUUUGCCAUUGAUUGUUUCCAUAUUGGAGCUAAACUUGACAAUUGUUCCUACAUUGAUGCCUAAGUUUUAGGGUUUUCAAAGAAACAUCAUGGAUUAAUUUGGAUCAAAAAAGGUUCAAGCCCCAAUAUAAAAACAAUUACCACAAAAAAAUUCAGGUCUCAAUAUGAAAAUAAUUACCAAUUUCAGGCCCAAAAAGGUGAUUUAACCCUUUGCCCAACCCCAUUCAAGUUACCAAACGAGAGGAAAAUAACAAAUUCCUAGAAAAUCUACAAUUUUGUGCGCUAAAAAAGAAAAUACAAAUAGUCGUUUCAGUAUAAUUUUCUCGGAAAAUAACCAAAACCCAGUCCUUUAAGCUUCAACAUCCAAAGAAAAAAGAAUGACUGCAAGUCAUUUGGUUGCUGAAUCCGUGUGGAAAACAAUAGAGUCAACUCAUUCAGGUCUUUCUUUUUUUCCCCCCUUAUUUAUUCUUUCUAUGUAGAAACUAAAUUCCAUCUUCUUCUUUUUUCCUUUUUUAAAUCCCUAAAUUUUGUGAUCUUAUGACCCAAAUUGGCCAGUAAAUGAAGAGCAACUAUCAAUGUAAGCAAUACUCAUUUUCUUUUAAAUCUUUUAUUCUUGGGCUUUUUAAAAUAAAAAUAAAAAUAAAAAUGGUGGGUAUUGAUUAAUUUUGAAUUUUCUUUUAUUGUAGCUUGCAUUUUCUGUUUGGUAAAAACUUCGAGAGAGCAACAAGGAUAGUUGACCAAAGGGGUGUCAAGAAAAUCUCCGGUGAACCCAGCGGUCGUUUUAUCUUUCAGGUUCAUUCUCUUUGUUGCUAUCUCAAUUUUUGAAUAUUGGUCGAAUUCUCCUAUUAGUCCAUGCACUCUGCAUAAAUUGCAGAUUUAAUCCAUGUUCCUCGAUUUAAUGUUUUUAAUGAUUUGUUUUUCAAAUUGUAAUUUUAGUAUCAUGUUAUAUCUAUUUAAUUUAAUUAUUUUAUUUCAGUUAAUAAAUUUCACUGCUAUUGGAUAUAAGAAUAAAAAUGAUAAAAUUUUAGAACAAAUAUUAAAUCUAUAAGGUUAGGACAGAAAAAUCCAAAUAUUAUAAAAUUAAAAUUGACCAAAUUAAAAUAUGUAGACUAAAUCUGUAAUUUAGACUUAGUAUAUAUACUAAGGGAAGAAUUUGUCAUAGAAUAUUUGGACGAGUUGUCGGCUACCUUAUGUGUAAAAUAUGGUCAUUUUGGCAAAUAUUCCAUUUUAAGAACUUUCCUGGAAACUUUUCUGAAACUGUGAGCCUUGAGAUAAAACCCGAAGCAGAAUUGAGACACAUCAGUAUAUAUCCAUUUGUAUAUCUCAAUAUAUAUAUAUAACAUACGCCUGUCUAGUUAGAAUAUUUGGACAAGUUGUCGGCCACCUUAUCUGUAAAAUGUGAUCAUUUUGGCAAAUAUUCCAUAUUUAAGAACUUUCCUGGAAAAUUUCUGAAACUAUGACCCAUCAAGGCUCUUGGCAGAAUCGUGAGAUAAAACCUGAAGCAGAAUUGAGACACAUCAAUAUAUAUAUCCAUUUGUAUAUCUCAAUAUAUAUAUACAGACGCAUGUGUAGUUAGAAUAUUUGGACAAGUUGUCCUCUACCUUUUCUGUAAAAUGUGAUCAUUUUAGCAAAUAUUCCAUCUUAAGAACUUUCCUGGAAAUUUUUCUUAACUAUGACCCAUCAAGGCUCUUAGCAGAAUGGUGAGAUAAAACCCGAAGCAGAAUUGCGACACUUCAAUAUGUAUCCAAUUGUAUAUCUCAAUAUAUAUAUAUACAUAGGCAUGUCUAGUUAGACUAUUUGGACAAGUUGUCAUCUACCUUAUCUGUAAAAUGUGAUUAUUUUAGCAAAUAUUCCAUCUUAAGAACUUUCCUGGAAAAUUUUCUGAAACUAUGACCCAUCAAGACUCUUAGCAGAGUCGUGAGAUAGAACCCGAAGCAGAGUUGAGACACAUCAAUAUAUAUAUCCAUUUGUUAUAUAUAUACAUACGCAUGUCUAGUUAGAAUAUUUGGUCAAGUUGUCAUCUACCUUAUCUGUAAAAUGUGAUCAUUUUAGCAAAUAUUCCAUCUUAAGAACUUUGCUGGAAAAUUUUCUGAAACUAUGACCCAUCAAGGCUCUUAGCAGAGUCGUGAGAUAAAACCCAAAGCAGAAUUGAGCCACAUCAAUAUAUAUAUAUCCAUUUGUAUAUCUCAAUAUAUAUAUACAUACGCGUGUCUAGUUAGAAUUUUGGACAAGUUGUCAUCAACCUUAUCUGUAAAAUGUGAUCAUUUUAGCAAAUAUUCCAUCUUAAGAACUUUCCUGGAAAUUUUUCUGAAACUUUUUUUUCCCAUUGUUUGGUGCUUUAGGUUGUGGGAGAAUCUAGAAGAAAAGAAGAAUAUUUCUGUUUUGCUGAACAUUAUUGUGCUUGUUAUUCAUUCUUUUAUGAUGUAAUUAACAGAGCAGAACAGCUUUGUGUAAGAUUUCUUUAUUCCUUUAUUCCCCUUAUUUUAUUGCAUUUAAUAUAUAGGUAAAAUUUUUGAAAUUGAGCAAAUUGGUCCCUCUAAAAAAUUAUAGCAAUUUAUCUUUGUCAAUUCCAAAAGUGAGCAACUAAAAAUAAUUAAUCAAGACGUUGAUAUCAUUUGUCAAUUGUACAUAGUUUUGAUUGGUAUAAUAACAAAUUUAGCCUUGUUAUUUACAUGUUUAUACAAAUAUUGAGUUGCAUUUAUUAAAUCAGGACAAAAUUGAAAGAAUAUGUAACUUUGAGAGCUAAAUUAUUUAUUAUACCAAUCAAAUUUAUGUACAAUUGAUGAUCAAAAUAUUAAUGUUGUGAUUAAUUAUUCUUAGUUGCUCACUUUUGAAUUAAAACGGAUUAAAUUACUUCAAAUUUUUUAGAGGAUUCAAUAUGCUCAAUUUACUUAAAUUUUUUUAGAGGAUUCAAUAUGUUCAAUUUUAAAAUUAAAAGGGAUUAAAUUACUUUAAUUUUUUUAGAAGAUUCAAUAUGCUCAAUUUCAAAAUUGAGAGGGACUCACCUAUAUAUAUUUGCUGUAUUUUCAUAUUUUGUUUUGCUUUUGUGUAGUGUAAGCAUCAAUUAGCUGCAAGGCUUGCUGGAUCAUUGGGAGCUUGUAUUGAAGUUAAAGUGUCUGAUGAACAGCUAGCUGUAUUACUUUCUGAGCUCUAAAUUUUUGUAGUAAAAUCGUAGCGGGUCGGAUCCGAAAUUUAAUCUAGUUGGUUCAUGCAGUUACAUUUAAAGAAAUGACAUUCAAUAAAUAUGAUUCAAUUUUUGAUAAAUAAAAAUAUUGUUUGUAUGUUUAACAACAAAAAGAAUGAACAAAUUAUAAUCAUCAAAUCAAGGAACAAUAUUGUGAGUUUUCAUCUUUUUAAUCCAUGAAUUGAACGACGUUUUCGAGUUUCGGAACCCGACAAAUCCAUGUUCUUUGCUCUUGUUCAUGCUAUCCAACAGUGACUUCCCCGAAAGCACCGAAUCAACGAACUGCCAUGCUCCGGCAUUGCUCAAUUUCAUCGGCAAAAGACCGUUCUCCCUCACGAUGUUGUCCCACACCGGACCUUUGUCUUUCAUCAUUUCAACCAAGCUUGGCACCUUCUCUUCGGUUUCUUGAAAUCCGUAGUGUUCGAUACCGAACUGGUCAGCUAACACUUUCCAUAAGUCCUUCCACUUAAACACAUCUCCAUUGCUACAAUUAAAGGCUUCGUUUUUCGCUCGCCGGCUCAUUGCUGCCCAUAUUUGAUGUUCUGCAAUCAAAUCCGCAUCCGAUGCAUCCCAGUACCCUUCCCACGCUUGUCGGUUCCCCGGAAACCUCAACGGCUCGCUUUCAUGCUUACAUAUCGACGCGUAAAUGCAUAAACUCCGAACUAUAUUCAUCGAACUAAACGGAGAAAACCCAAAAACCAAUCCCGGCCUAUGAACAGACCAUGUCAAGUUCUCCUUCUGCUUCACUUCUUCCAACAAAACAUCCUCGAGCGUAUAACACAAGUUUGACGACUUAAGCCUCGGAAGAUCCUCGCGAAAAGGAGGAUCAUGGGGCUGAACAUGAUAUUUUCCGUACAAAUCAAUCGGACCGGUGUAAUGCCGACGACCGGUUUGCAAGCAUAUAUGUUUCAACUUGGGUGAAUUCGGGAUUACCGCUUUCAACACGUUCCGUAACAUAGUACCAUUGAUAACGCAGUUUUCAUCUUCAGUUGAUCUCUUAUCCCAUGCAACAUAAAACACAUGAGUCACAUCGUUAAGCUUUGAUAAUUUAUCACAUGUUUCUUCUUCAUCUAAAACAUCGCAUUGUAUGUACUCAAUAGGCAAAUGACUAGUCGAGGCUGGUCGAGGCUGACGAGCAACACCGUAGACCUUCCACGGUCCGCCGGGAAUACCGGAGAACGGAAGAAUCUCGGCGAGACUGUUACCGACUAUGCCGGUGAUGCCAAUGACCAAAGCAACACUCUUGUACUUGGAUUGUUUAUCAUGUUCUUCCAUUUUCUUCUGUAAAAAAAAAAAAAAUCUGGGUUCAUUAGAUUAAAUGCAGAGAAAGAGAACCCAAAAAAAUGAAUGAGCAUUAACGUACCUUGGCAGCACCAAUGGCUCCUGCCCACCACCAACUCAUUGUAUGUUUUUCUUUUGCUGUUAAUGAAAAAAAAUGCUGAAUUACAUCCUUAAACUUUGUCUGCAAUGUUUUUAUAGUGAUCCGCUUUGAUAAAAGUGACGUCUGGGAAUUUAAAAAAGGAAAAAAAAACCAAUCUUAUCUAUUUACAUGUAUCAACUACAGCUCAACAAGAACUUGUUAUCAAUUUGAUUUCUUUAUAAUAAUAAUAAUAAUAAUAAUUUUAGUUGGGAUAAAUUACAAGAAUAGUCACUCUUGUUUGUCUUAGAUUAUAUUUUAGUCAAUUAUGUUAUCGUUUUGUUACGAAGUGGUCACUCUACCGCUAAACUCCGUUACCUCCCUAGCGGUAGUUCUACGUGACAGUUAAAAUUAAAUUUAUUUAAUUAAAAACAUAUUUUCAUCCCAGUAGCUGGACAUCCAAGUUGGCAUUUAAAACAUGUUUGGAUUGCUACGUAGGACAAUCGUUAGGGAGGUAACGGAGCUUAACGGUAGAGCGACCAUUUCAUAACAAAAUGAUAACAUAUGUGACUAAAAUAUAACAUUUUAAACAUAAAUGAUUAAAAUGUAAUAUGAUUCAAACAAAAGUAACUAUUUUUAUAGUUUACCAUUUUAUUUUUAAUUUGUUUGAAUAAACAUGGAUACAACACAUAUAUUUUAUAUAAAAUAAUUUAAGUGGCGGAAUUUUUUAAAAGAAAAUCAGAAAGGACGUGGAAAAUGGGUUAAUUGGUGAAUAUGUGUAAAUCCUUCAAUAAUUGAAUUGGUCAGCCAACACUUAAAGACUAAGGAUUAGACAGCUAGUAAACACAUCAGCAUAUAAUCAAGCUUGCGUGGAGAACCUAGCGUGUAAGGAAACAAUACAUCCUUAUCUAUUCACUAAAUCUUCUAAUGCUAUGAAAAAAAAGGAUAGAAUUUUGUGAAUUUUAUAAUUGGAAAGUUUAAGGAUAGGAAAUUAAUAUGAAAUUUGGCUUUUUUGUUUUUUUAAUUUGUAUUCCAAGUUAGUUUUUUACUAUUUAAGUCAAACAUUUCUAUUGGGUAUUGUUAAAUUAACAUGAGUAUUAUUGUUAAUAUAGAGGAAUGUGUGUUUGAGUGCGUUGAAGUGUUAGGUCUGUUCUUGACGUUUUUGGGCCUUAACAAAACAAUAAAAUGGGUUUCAAGUUCCUUAAAAGUUGAAGAAAAAAAAUUUGGUCCCUAAAAGUUGGUAAAAAAAAUUUGGCCUUUAAAAGUUAAAAAUAAGAAUUUUGGGCCCCUUAACAAUUGGAGAAUAAUAUUUUAGACCCCUUUCAGCCUUGGGCUCUGGGAAGCCGCACCUCUAGACGACCUCUAGAGCCAGGCCUGUGAAGCGCAUUAUCCUCUUAUUUAUGGGUUGGAGUAUAAUCAGAACCUAUAAUGAGAUUGUUAAAAAAAAUUUUAAAACAAAAAAGUUUUAAGAUGGAUUGUGAAUUUAAGGUUUUUUUUUAAUGGUUACAAGUUGCUUGGAAACAAAAUAUUAGUAAAUCAGAAUAGAAAAAUAAAUAAAUAAAUAAAUUGAAAACAAUUAGUCUCUCGAUAUGAUAAAUUAAUUUUGUUUAACAUUCGUUGUAACGACGGUUAGAAAGAAAACAAGCAGCGAAAAAAAUAAAAGAAGAAAAGAAUUGACACAACCGAUCUUUGUUAAUACAGUUUAGACACAGUGGUCCUAUAUUUGCGGAGCCUCUCCCAGUGAAUGAUUUUAUUCAACAAUCGUUCGGAUCACCUAUUGGCUUAAGCCCGAUUACCUUUACACAAAGAAAUAAUUCAAGCUUCAAUAUUGACCCCAAUUGUCACAAAUCACUCACCCAAAUACCUCACAAUAUGAUAGACUUUAAACUCCUAUUUAAAAGUUGAAAUUAUCCCAUUAAUUAUCUUUAGUACCCCAGGGUGAAUCAAACUCAGUAUAAACGAAACCUAUUUAAGGCCCAAGUCAAUAACUUAAGUAGAGAAACAGUUUCGUUAUAAUUGGACAUAAAACAAACAGCAAUUUUCCCAACAAAAACAUAAUGGGGAGAGCGAGACUUAUUCCUAAGUUGGCAAAUGCAAUUGCUCAGCUGUUUGUUUCAUGCAAAACUUAGUUGGCAAUUAACAAAUUCAAAUAGGCUCAACAUCUUUAACCUAUGGAUAGAAUUUCUAAUGCCAAUUUGAAUUCCUUCCUUCCAAGAAAUCCUUCAACAUUUUUAUCUCUUUGUGCAAGCAUUAUUGUAACAAGUCCAUCUUCUUAACUUUCACUAGAGAAUCUGUGGUGAUAUGGAGUUUACAGUAAACCCUAUUCGAAUGGGGAGUAACAAUCCUCUUUUGUCCGAUGAUUCUUUUGUUUUGGGUAAGAAUUCCAAAAUUCAUUUUACAAAGAGUAAACGAAAGUUGUGUUAUUGUUUAUGGGAAUACAUGAAAGUAAUCUAGAGUCGAGCAUUUUAUACCAUUUGUCUUAUAGAAUUUUGGGUUAACUUCGUUUGGUCGGUAAAUUUGACGAUAUAUGUCAUGUUAAUCUUUCUAAAAAAGUAAAUGGUGAAUUACAUUAAUGGUUAUCUAAUUAUGAUUUUUUUUUAUCACCCAACCAUAAAAAAUUACAAAAUAGUUAGUCAAUUAUUAGUAUUUUUUUUAUCAUCCAAUUAUAAAAAAGUGACAAAAUAAUCUUCAUUUUCAUGUUAACCGACUAAUAACUAAAAAAUUAAUUGAAUAAUUAGAUGAUCAUUUUGUAAAAUUUUCAUAGUUAGGUGAUAAAUGAAACUAUAAUCUGAGUGUCCUCUAUUAUAGUUUUGAGUAUAUAAAUAAUAAAAUUGCACAUCCUAUUUGAUAUUUUUGAGCAAAAGAAAAGAAAAGAAUAAUGAACUUGGAUACAUGGUAUUAGAGCGACUUAUGAUUGCAAUUGCACAUCCUAUAUGAUAUUUUUUUAGCAAAAAAAAAAAAGAGAAAAGAAUAAUAACCUUAAAUACAUGGUAUUAGAGCGACCUAUGAUUGCAAUUCCACAUUGACUUCCCAUAGGAUGGAUCAAUAGGUACUCCAAGUCAAACUCCUAAAGUGUGCAGUAGGAGAAAAUAACAACAAAACCCAUGACAAACGCAACACGAGUUUAGAUGGAGAAGAAUAUUAAGCGAAACACUAAAAAAAUUAGAUAACAUUAUUAAUCCCAUAUCAAAAAACAAAUAAGAAAACAAGUAGACUUGUACGCUCUAGGAAAGCAUAUGACUAAUAUCACUAGGGGGGUUUAGCUAGGUACAGCUGAUGGUCCCAAGUUGAAAGGGACUCUUGAGUAUCGCUGAUGUUUUGACCUUAGUCCUAUAUAAUAGGGGCAAAACACUAUCUAUCCGGCGCGUCCACACCCAAUGAGAUAGAUUUUUGGUCACCUAGACUGAAUGGUCUAUGGACGCCUCUAAUCCAGCUGACUUAUCCUAUUUUAUACACAAAAAUGUUGAAAUCUCUAAAUAAUGAAGAGUAAACUAAAAUCAAAUAGCUUCCAUUAACAAGACAUGGGGUUAGAGCUUAGGGUUUAGAAUUAAUAAAGAAUCAUGAUUGCAAGCCAAACCUGGAUCAUUCAUAUACAUUAGAUGACAAUGAUAUCUCUAUAAGUUUUAGCAUUAAAACUAGGUUUGAGGAAACAUCAAAACAGAAAAUCCAAUUUGCAGACAUAAAAUACUUCAUUAAUUACAUUAACAAAAAGCUUAUCAAACAUUCCUUUGGAAAACAAUUUUGCAAAGACACUGUUAACUGCACAUAAUGAUUUAUAUUUGACUUGUAUAAAAGCAAUUGUACAUACCUUUUCAAGAUUUUCAAUUCCCCUCUUUCUUGUUUCAUCUGCUAUAUAAUACAAAAUUCCCCAUCAGCUACAUGCAUAGCUAAAUAGAGCUUUAGGCAUUCAAAAAGCUAAAGAACACAUGUUGGCCUCGAGGAAACACACAGAACCGUGCACAACGUCACAUUUCCACUUUCUCAGCAUGCUCGAAUUGAUGAACACAACGAACAGUGCUAACACAAUACUAAAAAGGUUUUCUUUAUGGAAGACAACUUUCUAUGACCAUUUUUCCACGACACGCUCUGAUAAUCUAAUUUCCUCAUCCUUGGAAAUAUGUGGAUCUAGCUUCUGAAGGUUGUCAAUAAAUGUCUUUGCCUCAUCACGCUGAUUGAGUUUACAAUAUCCAUCAACUAUGGAAUUGUAUGUAUUCUGGUUUGGUUUACAGCCGUGCUUGAUCAUGAAUUGGACAACAUCUAUGGCUUCCUCAAACAAGGAAUCAGCUGCAUAGCUUGCAACAAAGGUAUUGUAAGUGAUAACAUCUGGAACAAGGCCAGAAUCACCCAUUUCUGAAAAUAUCCGAGAAGCCUCUUUCAUUCGACCGUUUCUACAAUAGGCAUAAAUAACAGUGUUAUACGAGAUUAUAUCUGGUUUUAUUCCUUUUGCCUGAACUUCCCUUAAAAUUUGUUCUGAUUCCUCGAACUUUUCAGAGCGGCUAUACAUAUACAUCAAACUGUUGUAGGUCGUCAAGCUCGGAGUAUACCCACACUCAUUCAUGAAGUUCAAGAUCUCAUUUGUCUUGGAAACCAUCUGCCUCCUGCCAUAUAUUGAGAGCAUGGCAUUUAGAGUAGUUAUGUCAGGUGGAAAUCCUUUCUUCCUCAAUUCCAAGAAAGCACGCUCUGUAUCCGCAAGAAGGUCGCAUUUACUAUUAACCAAAACAAGAGUCUUUAACAGCACAGCAUGAGGUUCGAUGAUACCGGAGUAUAUCUCUUCCGCUAGGGCAUGCAUCCGAUCUACCUGCUUCCCAUUGGCAUAAACAUGAAGCAAAGAACAGUAGGUUAGCUCAUUGGGUUUGCAACGACCGUCUCUCAUUUCAGCCAGUAUUUUCUCAGACUGCUUCCAAAGCCCUCCCCGUGCCAAUGCCGCCAAAACAGCAUUAUAUGUAGAAAGGUCGGGGGUAACUCCAGCUUCCAGCAUUCUCUUAUAAAUAGCCAUGGCUUGAUCAAAAGCACCACAGCGACUGUAUGCACUAAUUAAAGUGUUGAAUGUGUCCCUUUCAGGUACAAACCCUGCCCUCUUCAUCUCCUUGAACACUCCAGACACUUCUACAUCCAUUCCAUUUUGCCCAAAUACUGCCAGUAGUGUAUUCCAAGUAACAAUAUCCGGUGCACCAUUGCAUGCCUUGAUCUCGUCAAAAAUCUUCAUCAUCUCAGUGAACUUCCCGCGGUUACCGUGCAUCUUAAUUAGAGCAUUGAAAGUGCAAAUAUUCGGCUUGCAACCAGAAGUUCUCAUCUCCUCAAAAACCGCCAUUGCAGACUCAUCUUUUCCGGCCUUGGCAAAUCCCGACAAAAGAGUGGUAUAGGUAAAAACAUCAGGCUUAAUCCCUUUUCCCUCCAUCUGUGUUUUCAAGUCCAUUGCUUCCUGCAACAGACCAUCCCUAGCAUAAGCGGAAAUCAACGAAUUAUAAGUCACAGUGCUAGGGGCAAACCCAUUAAGCUCCAUCUCUUUUAAAACCUCCAUAGCUUCCUUCGGACGCCGAGACUUACCAUAAACAUCCAACAAUGCAUUGUAAGUAACAUUAUCUGGAGUAAAACCAGCCAAUUUCAUUUCAUCGAAAACCGAAGCCGCUUCCUCAUGCAAAGACCCUCGACGACAGCUACUUAUAAGCGUAUUAUAAGUAUAAGCAUCAGGGGCAAUUCCAUCACUUUUCAUUCCAUCAAAAAGAGCCAUGACCUUACUCCAAGGCAUGCCCAUUUUACCAUACACAUUCAAAACCACAUUAUAAGUUAUCAAAGUAGGUUUACAACCCUCUUCCUCCAUUUUCUUAAAAACCACCAUGGCUUCCCUAUACCUCCCACUACCAGCAUAAGCAGUUAUCAAUGAAGUAUAAGCAUAAACAUCAAGACUAAACCCUUCUUUGUGCAAACCAUUAAACAAAUUAGCUGCAACAGAAACCCUCCCCUCUUUCCCUAACAUACUAAUAAUAAUAGCAACAACAGAGCUAUUCAACACCAAUCCACAAUCAUUUCUAGCUCUAACCCAAUUGAAAACACCCAAAGCCAAGUUAGAUUUCUUGUAAAAACCCAAAGCUUUAACAAUUCCCACCACUUCCGCAGCCAAAAAAUCAGCUUUCACAUCUGGGUUUUCUUGGUAUUGCUCAAACAACUUACUCAAAACAACAUCAAGUUGAUUAGAAUCAAAAGAAGGUUCAAUUAAGGAAUUAAGAACCUGCUGACCUUGAGCAGAGAGGUUGUUAUGAGUCCAACGCUUCCCACGGUUGACGUCACGUGACCGGCCGAGACGGUUCCGGGUCCGGACUUGUGGGUCGAUGGGUUGUUGGGACUUAGAAUUAUGUCGAAGAAGGAGGUCUUGAAAGACUGGAGUCGAGGGAGCAGGUGAAUUGGGUUGUGAAGUUGGGUUUUGUUGAGUGAAGUGAGUUUGGUUUGAUAAUGGGGUUUUAACAGGUGGGGGAUUUGGAAGGAGAAGAGGGAGAGCAAGCCUCUCUGCCAUUAAAGAGAGGAUAAGAAAGUUGCAGCCUUUGUAUCUAUGGUUGAGUUAGAAACAGAGAGGGAGAAAAAGAAAAGGGUAAUUGAUAAUUUUAGUGCGCUUUCGUUAUUACUUGCAGAGUCCACAACUUUUUUUUUUAGAAGUCUAAGGCUUAAAGGGGGACAUGACAAAGAUAUGCGGAGGAUAUUUUAGGAGGUAAAAGGGAGAUUAUAUUCUUCUGUGGUUAAGAAUGAACUAUUGAAAUACUAUGACCAAUAAAAGGUUGCCACGUAAACUCUGAAAGCGGACUCUUAAGUCAAAAUUGGUGACGUUUGCCCUCUUCAAAAUUAGUUCGAUUAGACAAAUUAUACUUAUUUAAACAUUUUCUCUUUUAUUUUUAUAUAAAAAUUAAUUUAAAGUGAAGCUUAAUAUUAUUAUAUUAAUAAUAUUUUUUAUUUUAAAAAAUAUUUAAAAUUAAUAAAAUAUUUAUAAUUUUCAAUAUUAUUAAUCAUACUUAUUUAAUUAUCUAUUUCUAAUCAUAUUAAUAACUUAUUAUUUUAAUAAUUUAUUUAAUAAUUUAAUUUUAUUUUAAAAAUAAAUUUGAAAAAUAAUAAUUUUAAAUAAUAUUCUUCAUAUAGUAUUGAAAAAUAUUCAAUGUUAAUAUUUUAAUAAUAAAUAUUUAUUACAAUUAUAAAUAUAUUACAGAUAAAUAUUUUGUAGUAUAAAUGUUAAAAUAUGUCAUAAAUAUAUAUACUCCUCACAAAUUUGAAAUUUAGUCCCUAUUCUUUUAUUUUCAAGAAUUUAAUCAUUCUACUGUUCAUAUUUAAAAAUCAAGUCCAAUUGUUAACAUUGUUAAAUUUUUUUUGUCAAUUUUGUUGAUGUCAAUUUUUAAAUAAAAAAUACUUGAUAUUCAUGUAACUAAAAGAUGACGUUACAAUUAACAUGAAUUUAACAAAAUAUUUUUAAUAAUGCUAUCAGAUGAACCUUAAUUUUGAUAUAUAAAAGGUAGGACUAACCCAAAAAUAAAAGCACAUGGACUAAAUUUCAAAUUUACGAAAAGUACAAUGACUUAUGACAUAUUUUAACCUAGUAUAAAAAUAUGAAUAUUUUAAUUAUAUAAAUUUGAAUAUUUGUUUAAGUAAUGUUUAGCUUCAUUUAUCCUUUACAACUCUAAUGUGUCAAUAUCUAUUCUCACAUAUCUAAUAUAUAUAAUUAAAAUUAAGUUUUAAUUAAGCAUUAUUUAUUAUUAAGUUUAUAUAUGACACUGAUUAUUACAAAAUAUUUUCUUAUUAUAAAAUAAAUUUCAAUUGUUAAAAGGAAAUUGCACUGUAAUAUUUUAUAACAAAUAUAUUUAUGUCAUGUUUGUUUUACAAAGAACAAUGUAAAAUAUAAAUUUAUAGAUAUAAAAUAAACUCAAUUAAACAAUGAAAAUAUAAGAAAAUCUCAUAUGUAUGUUUGUUUCAUUGAAAACAACUUUUAUGAAAUAUUUAUAGUAAAUCUGUCAAAUAACAGAAAAUAUUAAUUUUUCAAAAAAGUAAGUCAUUUUCCAGAAAUCAUUUUUCGGAAGUCAUUUUCAGUGAAACAAAUGGAACCUAAACUUGAAAAUCGUAAGUUAACUUGAUAUUUUUUUAGGCACCUAAUACUAUUAAAAUAUACUGACAUAACACUGACGAUCAAUUGGAUGGUGACACGUGAUAACCUCACAUUUUUUAUUAUAAAUAUUAUAUUUUUUUAUUUUGCCACGUGUCAAAAUAUAAGGCUAUCACGUGUCACCAUUCUAUUAGUAGUCAACGUCACAUCAGCGUAUUUUAAUGAUGUUAGUCAAGUAGCUAAAAAAACACAAAGUUGACUUAUAAUUUUUAAGUUUAGGUACCAGUCAGGGCCAAAAUUAAACUAUGUAAUUGAUAUUUAUGUCAUUAUUGUUGUUUAUUUGUGUAACUAAGAAUUGAUGACUUUAUUGUUUCAACCACUAAUUCGGUUUCCAAAAAACAUUGAUUCAAAGGAAACUAACCUAAACCGAACUAUAUAAUUGAUGUUUAUGCCAUUAUUAUAUAUGUGUUUAUAAUAACUAGAAUCGAUAACUUAACCGUUUCAACCACCUCUUCCAACUUCUAAAAAAAACAUUGGUAAAUGGAAGUUAGAUUAUUUUCAAAUCUUCAAGCUUUAUAAGUUAUUGAAUCGAGUGAUAAAAUACUUAUUAAUUCAUAAAAAGUUGAUGAAUCGUUUGAAAAGAAAGAAAAAGAAAAAGAAAAACCAAUGCUAAAAAAUGCUUGUUUCUUAUUUAGAAGUCCAAUUCAACUCAAGUUGUGUUUAGUAUUACUUUUAAGAAGUAUUUUUGAGAAAAAAAUACUUUUGAGAUAAAAACAUUAUUAAAUAAAAUGCUAAAUUGACCCGCAAUCGAUACCUGUGGGNNNNNNNNNNNNNNNNNNNNNNNNNNNNNNNNNNNNNNNNNNNNNNNNNNNNNNNNNNNNNNNNNNNNNNNNNNNNNNNNNNNNNNNNNNNNNNNNNNNNNNNNNNNNNNNNNNNNNNNNNNNNNNNNNNNNNNNNNNNNNNNNNNNNNNNNNNNNNNNNNNNNNNNNNNNNNNNNNNNNNNNNNNNNNNNNNNNNNNNNNNNNNNNNNNNNNNNNNNNNNNNNNNNNNNNNNNNNNNNNNNNNNNNNNNNNNNNNNNNNNNNNNNNNNNNNNNNNNNNNNNNNNNNNNNNNNNNNNNNNNNNNNNNNNNNNNNNNNNNNNNNNNNNNNNNNNNNNNNNNNNNNNNNNNNNNNNNNNNNNNNNNNNNNNNNNNNNNNNNNNNNNNNNNNNNNNNNNNNNNNNNNNNNNNNNNNNNNNNNNNNNNNNNNNNNNNNNNNNNNNNNNNNNNNNNNNNNNNNNNNNNNNNNNNNNNNNNNNNNNNNNNNNNNNNNNNNNNNNNNAAUAUAUCUUAAAUUUUAUUUUAUUGUAAUUUUAUAUGAAUUGAUUAUAAUUUUAAUUGACCGAAUAUAUAUCCUUUAUUAUUUAUAUUAUAUUUGUACUUGUAAUUUUUUUAAAAAUUUAAAUUAAACAUGCCCUUUUUUUAAAAAUGUAAAUAUAAAUAUUUGUUUAUAUUAUAAUGUGUUUAUAAUAAGAGUCAGAUUAUAUAUAUAUAUAUUUGUAAUAGAGUCAGAUUAUAUUUUACAUCUUCUGUUCGAAAAAAUUGGAAAAUUAAUCAACAGAUAAAAAUUAAAUCUAUUCUUAUUAUUAAAAAUUAUUUAAUUUCUGAAAAAAUUCUUAUAGGUAACCUUUUAGAUCUUUUUUAGCUGUGUUUAUUAAAAAAAAUAAAAAAAUAUAAAAGUAGUUUUUUUAGAGUAAAUGUAAAACUUUAAAAUAAUUGUAAUAUGUAAAAUUAAAAAUAUUAAACUAUUUACAACCGUCGGAUUAAAAAUGAUAUAUUUUUGAAUGAUGAUGAAGAUCGAUUCCUGAUGUAUAUAAAUACUGCCUUCUAUUCCCUUCAGUCUUCGCUUCACCCACUUUCUCAUUUCACACGGGUUGUGGCGUAGUUUAAGCAGAGAGGGUGCGCAGGAUAAAGCUAUUCACCAUUGUUUCAACAUGAAGGUUUGUAAUAAAAAUUUGUUUCUAUCAGCAUUGCUUUGCAUUGCUGUUGCAGGAGUUUUGGGUCAAGCUCCUAGUAAUCCUCCUACGUCUACGCCGGCGCCACCCACACCACCGGCUUCUACUCCUCCUCCGACGACUCAAGCACCGCCUACACCAACCGCCACUCCGCCACCGGUUUCUACUCCUCCUCCCACUUCAUCACCGCCCCCAGUGACAGCUUCUCCACCCCCAGUUUCAACUCCUCCACCCAGUUCUCCUCCUCCUGCAACUCCACCACCUGCUUCUCCUCCUCCUGCAACUCCACCUCCAGCUUCUCCACCUCCUGCCACUCCUCCACCAGCUUCUCCACCUCCCGCCACUCCACCACCUGCAACCCCACCGCCAGCAACUCCUCCUCCUGCUACCCCACCACCAGCUCCAUUGGCUUCUCCUCCAGCCACAGUCCCAGCUAUCUCUCCAGUACAAACACCAUUGACAUCGCCACCAGCUCCGCCGACCGAGGCCCCAGCAC
rnacentral:lncRNA from 1 species